AAAAUUAAAGUGACAGAAGCCUUUAAUCCGCACUCGGCCGCGCCCUGGUUGGGGACAAAGGCGGUCGCUCCGGCGCGUCGGGCCCCCUCCCGAGGCUCCUCCAUCGCUUUCCCGGGGCUCCGGUUUCUGGGUACUGAACCCAGAGAUCCACGAGAUGCGAUCGAGGAGACGCGGGCUGAGCGUGGCUUUGCUCGUUCUGUUUCCAUGCAACGCUCGCGAUCCGAAUCCAUCCCGAGCUGUUCGGAAACUUCAGUCCGUGUUGCCCGAGUCGCCCGGAAGGAAAACGCCAUCCGGCAGGGUGCCGGGGUGGCCGAAUGGUUAGAGCGUCGGACUUAGGGCUCCGUGGUCUCUGGGGUGCGCGGGUUCGAACCCCACUUCUGGCGGCUCUGUGUUCGCCCUUCGGCGUUCCCUGUUGGGACUUUAGGUGCGCAGACGCCGGGAUCUGGGUCUGAAUCUGAACCCCAGACAGUUCCUUUUCGCCAGAGCAGAGAAUGCGGGACGACUUGAGAAUCCACGGCUGGGAAGGAGCGAAGGCAGCGUCCACCGAAAGCAGACCCGAUCCUCUCCACCGAUGUUGCUGCGCCGCCGCGCAAAGGCCCGAGGGGCGGGAGGAGGAGCCGGCCGGCCUGCGGGCGGACGCGCGGGAGGACUGAGGAGGGGCCGGCGCUGCGAGAGGCUUCGGGUGGCCCCGCGGGCGGCGCGGAGGAACCAAGGCGGCGCCGGGACCACCGGGCUCGGUCCUCAGCGCCCUGCUUUGAGCUGUGAGGCUGGAGAACAGCGGGAGCAAGGAGGCCCGGCCUGGCCGCCCUUCACCGCCCCAGGCCGGCGGUGCCCAACCCCGCCCUGCUGCAGCAGCGGCCGGGCUCCGCUCCAAAGGCCGCGCAGUGCCGCCGAACGGAGAGCGCCUCUCGUCCGCGCCCGGACAGGCCGGCCGCAAGGUCGGGGCUGAGACAGAGCGACCACCACGGCUGGAGGCCUGGAGGAGGAGGAGGAGGACCGGGUAGGGGCGCUCGGGCGCACUCCGGCUCUGCCUCUCGUCCCGGAGCCCCGACUUGGCCCCGCUGUCACCCGCAGACGUGCGCGGCGCCCCCAGGCCUCGGCGCGGCCGUGCGGACAUCGGCCCCGGGGCAAGGUGGCCACCGAGGAUCCGAACACGGCUUUCUCUAAAUGCCGCCGACACAGUGCCUUAAGAGUGCUCCGCUUCUCUGCGAACCUGCAGACGCCUUCCCGGUGGAUUCUGGACCCCGCCCCGCCCGCGAUCCCCUCGGUUCCGAAGCCGCGAGCCGCGCAGAGGGACUACACGCAGCCAGCGAGGGGAGGCACCCAUCUGGGCCGGGCUGCGGAUGCAGAUCUGGACGCUGAGACCCCGCCCCGAAAGAUGAGGCUGCGCCCCGCCCGGCCGCGAGCAGGAGGAGCCAAGGGUCCCAGCCGCAGCGCACGGCCAAGGCCGGGACCCGAGGGCAGCCACGUCCCAGUCCGCAAGCCGAGAAACGGACAAGGAGUGAAGCGAUCCCGGUCACGCCCACCGAAGGGUACGCCCUCGGCCACACCCCACCCACGGCCGGCCUCUCGGCCUCCCUCGCCCCGCCCAUAGCCGGCCCCGCGCACGCGCAGCUGGGGCCUCGGUCCGCCCCAGGACGCACCCGGACACCUCCGGCUUUCGGGCCUGUGCUCUUCCCGGGCUAGCUGGAUGUCACCUCCCUUUCUGUUCCCUUGCCCUCCUUCCUCCCAGCACCUGACUCUCGUAAUAAAAGAAUAGAAAGAGAAAAACAAGUGUAUGAACGUGUGUCUCAUGUACAGAAAGGGAGAUGCCAGGAAAUGAGUCAUUCUUAAAGACGCGGAGGGCUUGGAACUCCAGUUUGUACGGCAUCGUCAGAAAACAAAAUUUGGGGCGCGAUGACGACGCCAAGGAAAACCUCGGGUUUCCAGGGACAGCCAGAUGACUCGGCCCGGGACCUGCGGCCUCCGGCAGCCCCAGCACGCCUCGCUGCGACUCCGCUCCGCGCUGAGAACGGCUAGGGCUUCGAGGGCAAAGGCCCAGGUUUCCGGGGGCGACUCCCCCCGUGAGGCCGAGGUGGACGAUCUCGAGGCUGAGGGCAGCAGUGCAGUCUCGCUCCCCCCUUCCUGG
rnacentral:lncRNA from 1 species